UCAAAUCAGCGGCAGUCAAGUCCCCAACACUCUUCUUGGCCAUUGAAACAACCCCUCUUGACCCUUUUCCCUUGAAAGAUCGAACUUUGGAGGAGGCAUGGAGGGAAAGCAGAGAGUCCCCAGAAGCAGCGGAGGAGAAGCCUAGGCUGUGGAUGAGAGAAGAGGAUUUGAGGUGGCGGCGAGUGGAGGGAAGGCGGAUGAGGGAUGCAGAAGAGCGGGAGGCGGAGGAAGAGGUGGUGGAGGCGGUGGUUUUGAGGAGGGAAAAAGUGGUGGAAGUGGUGGCAGAAGCCAUUUGGAGGCGAAGAGAGAAAGAGAGUGGAGACGCUGAGUUGUAAGUUGUGAAGGCAAAGAGACAAGGAAACUGUGAGAGAGGGGGGGAAAAGGAGUUUAUGU
rnacentral:lncRNA from 1 species